rnacentral:rRNA from 1 species
AUUGAACGCUGGCGGAAUGCUUUACACAUGCAAGUCGAACGGCAGCACGGGAGCUUGCUCCUGGUGGCGAGUGGCGAACGGGUGAGUAACAUAUCGGAACGUACCCAGUAAUGGGGGAUAACUAGUCGAAAGAUUAGCUAAUACCGCAUACGCCCUGAGGGGGAAAGCGGGGGAUCGAAAGACCUCGCGUUAUUGGAGCGGCCGAUAUCUGAUUAGCUAGUUGGUGGGGUAAAGGCCUACCAAGGCGACGAUCAGUAGCUGGUCUGAGAGGACGACCAGCCACACUGGAACUGAGACACGGUCCAGACUCCUACGGGAGGCAG